UACGUAGGGUCCGAGCGUUGUCCGGAAUUAUUGGGCGUAAAGGGCUCGUAGGCGGUCUGUUGCGUCGGGAGUGAAAACUUACAGCUUAACUGUGAGCGUGCUUUCGAUACGGGCAGACUAGAGGUAUGCAGGGGAGAACGGAAUUCCUGGUGUAGCGGUGAAAUGCGCAGAUAUCAGGAGGAACACCGGUGGCGAAGGCGGUUCUCUGGGCAUUACCUGACGCUGAGGAGCGAAAGUGUGGGGAGCGAACAGG
rnacentral:rRNA from 1 species